rnacentral:rRNA from 1 species
UACGUAGGGUGCAAGCGUUUAAUCGGAAUUACUGGGCGUAAAGCGUGCGCAGGCGGUUUUUGUAAGUCUGACGUGAAAUCCCCGGGCUCAACCUGGGAACUGCAUUUGUGACUGCAUCGCUGGAGUGCGGCAGAGGGGGAUGGAAUUCCGCGUGUAGCAGUGAAAUGCGUAGAUAUGCGGAGGAACACCGAUGGCGAAGGCAAUCCCCUGGGCCUGCACUGACGCUCAUGCACGAAAGCGUGGGGAGCAAACAGG